CUCAGGAUUAACGCUGGCGGCAUGCCUAAUACAUGCAAGUCGAAUGGGGAGCUUGCUUCCCAUGGCGAACGGGUGAGUAAUACGUAGGUAACCUACCUUUAGGACGAGGAUAACCUUUGGAAACGAAGGAUAAUACUGGAUAGUAUAGAUUUCCGCAUGGAGAUAUAUUUAAAGAUUUAUCACCUAGAGAGGGGCCUGCGGUGCAUUAGCUAGUUGGCGGGAUAAAAGCCCACCAAGGCGAUGAUGCAUAGCCGGACUGAGGGGUUGUACGGCCGCAAUGGAACUGAGAACGGUCCAUACUCCUACGGGAGGCAGCAGUAGGGAAUUUUCGGCAAUGGGCGGAAGCCUGACCGAGACCAAUGCCGCGUGAAUGAUGAAGUAUUUCGGUAUGUAAAGUUCUUUUAUCUAGGAAGAAAAAACAAAUUGACGGUACUAGAUGAAUAAGCUCCGGCUAACUACGUGCCAGCCGCCGC
rnacentral:rRNA from 1 species